rnacentral:rRNA from 1 species
UACGUAGGCAGCGAGCGUUGUUCGGAAUUACUGGGCGUAAAGAGCGUGUAGGCGGUGCUCUAAGUUCGGUGUGAAAUCUCCUGGCUCAACUGGGAGGGUGCGCCGGAAACUGGAGUGCUUGAGCGUGGGAGAGGAAAGCGGAAUUCCUGGUGUAGCGGUGAAGUGCGUAGAUAUCAGGAGGAACACCUGUGGUGUAGACGGCUUUCUGGACCAUAGCUGACGCUGAGACACGAAAGCGUGGGUAGCAAACAGG